rnacentral:rRNA from 1 species
CCCUUAGAUGUUCUGGGCCGCACCCGUGCUACACUGAGUGGAUCAGCGGGUCAGGUUGCGCGAAAGCGUUUCCUAAUCUUUAAAUCCGCUCGUGAUGGGGAUUGACGGUUGCAAUUUUCUGUCAUGAACGAGGAAUACCUUGUAAGCGCGGGUCAUCAUCCCGCGCUGAAUACGUCCCUGCCCUUUGUACACACCGCCCGUCGCUCCUACCGAUUGAGUGGUCCGGUGAGGCUUUGGGAUCUGAGCGGAAAGAGCGUUUCGCUGUUUCUGCUCGGAAAACUCAGUCGAACCUUAUCAUUUAGAGGAAGGAGAAGUCGUAACA